rnacentral:rRNA from 1 species
AUUGAACGCUGGCGGCAGGCCUAACACAUGCAAGUCGAGCGGCAGCGGGAAAGUAGCUUGCUACUUUUGCCGGCGAGCGGCGGACGGGUGAGUAAUGCCUGGGAAAUUGCCCAGUCGAGGGGGAUAACAGUUGGAAACGACUGCUAAUACCGCAUACGCCCUACGGGGGAAAGCAGGGGACCUUCGGGCCUUGUGCGAUUGGAUAUGCCCAGGUGGGAUUAGCUAGUUGGUGAGGUAAUGGCUCACCAAGGCGACGAUCCCUAGCUGGUCUGAGAGGAUGAUCAGCCACACUGGAACUGAGACACGGUCCAGACUCCUACGGGAGGCAGCAGUGGGGGAUAUUGCACAAUGGGGGAAACCCUGAUGCAGCCAUGCCGCGUGUGUGAAGAAGGCCUUCGGGUUGUAAAGCACUUUCAGCGAGGAGGAAAGGUUGGUGCCUAAUACGUAUCAACUGUGACGUUACUCGCAGAAGAAGCACCGGCUAACUCCGUGCCAGCAGCCGCGGUAACAC